CCUACGGGUGGCAGCAGUGAGGAAUAUUGGUCAAUGGGCGCGAGCCUGAACCAGCCAAGUCGCGUGAGGGAUGAAGGUUCUAUGGAUCGUAAACCUCUUUUAUAAGGGCAUAAAGUGUGGGACGAGUCCUACUUUGUACGUACCUUAUGAAUAAGGAUCGGCUAACUCCGUGCCAGCAGCCGCGGUAAUACGGAGUAUCCGAGCGGUAUCCGGAUUUAUUGGGUUUAAAGGGUGCGUCGGCGGACGGGUAAGUCAGCGGUGAAAGUCUGUGGCUCAACCAUGGAACUGCCGUUGAAACUGGGGGGCUUGAGUGUGUUUGAGGCAGGCGGAAUGCGUGGUGGAGCGGUGAAAUGCUUAGAUAUCACGCAGAACCCCGAUUGCGAAGGCAGCCUGCCAGGCCAUGACUGACGCUGAUGCACGAAAGCGUGGGGAUCGAACAGGAUUAGAUACCCUUGUAGUC
rnacentral:rRNA from 1 species